GCCGAUGUGGCCCAACUUGGUAGAGGCGUUCGCCUUAAAAGCGAAAAGUUGAGAGUUCGAAUCUCUCCGUCGGCA
rnacentral:tRNA from 1 species